rnacentral:rRNA from 1 species
GAUGAACGCUGGCGGCGUGCCUAAUACAUGCAAGUCGGACGGAUGUAGCAAUACAUUAGUGGCGAACGGGUGAGUAACACGUAGGUGACCUGCCCUAAAGAGGGGAAUACCACUUCGAAAGGAGUGACAAAACCGCAUAAACUUAUAGAGAUUAGAAGGCUAUAAGGAAAAGAGCGAUCUACUUUAGGAGGGGCCUGCGGCCCAUCAGCUAGUUGGUAGAGGUAACGGCCUACCAAGGCGAAGACGGGUAGGGGACCUGAGAGGGUGAUCCCCCACAAUGGAACUGAAACACGGUCCAUACACCUGCGGGUGGCAGCAGUAGGGAAUAUUGCUUAAUGGGCGAAAGCCUGAAGCAGCAACGCCGCGUGGACGAAGAAGGCCUUCGGUUGUAAGUUACUUUAUAUGGGAUGAGGAAGGACGAGUACCAUAUGAAUAAGUACUCGGCUAACUAACGUG